rnacentral:lncRNA from 1 species
UGGCCGCUGUGCCUCGAGUUCCUGCGGAGCGGCAAGAUCGACGUGAAGCCGCUCAUCACGCACAGGUUCGGCUUCUCGCAGGGGGAGGUGGAGGAGGCCUUCGAGGUCAGCGCGCGCGGCCGCGACGCCAUCAAGGUCAUGUUCAACCUCUAGACCUCGAGACCGCUACUGUUGCUAGGGAUUCAAGCCGUGCUUGAACUGGAGCUGCGAGCGUGUCCGCGUGCGCGCGGUGUGUUGUGUGUCGUGAAAUAAAAUAAAAUGGCUGUGCAGACUGAUUUCUAUCAUGAAACUGGGAUGUCAGGAAUCGUUCGAG